rnacentral:lncRNA from 1 species
CUGAGGUGGGAGGAUCACCUGAGCCUGGGAGUUUCAGGCUGCAGUGAGCCAUGAUUGUGCCACUGCACUCCAGCCUGAGCUACAGAGUGAGACACUGUCGGGGAAAAAGCAAAAAAAGGCAGAAAAAGAAUGAGUAAGGGAAGAGACAGCUUGGAGUCCCCCACGGAUAAAUGAAUGCAUUCACCUGGAAAUAAUAUAUCAUUUCCACUCAUGUUCCACUGGCCAAAGAAUAUCAAGGGGAUGGAGAAUUUCAGUGACCACUCCCUUUUACCCCCACCACAAACUGAAGGAAGAGAAGAACUGGAACUACAGCAAGGUCACUGAAGAGGUGAAAAAGCUAACUGACUUGAAAAGGAUCACCCACAUAGCCAGAAAUGCAGAUUAUGCCGGUAUGUACAAAAUGUUUUUCAUACAGGUGUCCGUUGCAAAUCUUUCCACUAACGUGCAUACAAAGGUAAACUAUGAAUUCUUAGUGGGGAUGGGG